rnacentral:rRNA from 1 species
UACGAAGGGGGCUAGCGUUGUUCGGAAUUACUGGGCGUAAAGGGCACGUAGGCUGUGCUGUAAGUCAGGCGUGAAAUCCCCGGGCUCAACCUGGGAAUUGCGCAUGAUACUGCGGCGCUUGAAGACGGGAGAGGAUGGCGGAAUUCCCAGUGUAGAGGUGAAAUUCGUAGAUAUUGGGAAGAACACCGGUGGCGAAGGCGGCCAUCUGGCCCGUUAUUGACGCUGAGGCACGAAGGCCAGGGGAGCAAACGGG